rnacentral:lncRNA from 1 species
CAAUGGCGGGCUCCCCUCCCCCAGCCUCGCUGCUGCCUUGCAGUUUGAUCUCAGACUGCUGUGCUAGCAAUCAGCGAGACUCCGUGGGCGUAGGACCCUCCGAGCCAGCUGGGUGCGGUGGCUCAGGACUGUAAUUCCAGCUACAUGAGAGGAUUGCCUGAGGCCAGGAGUUUGAGACCAGCCUGAACAACAUAAUAGACUGGGAGCUCCAUGAGGUCCGAGACAACCUGAAGACGCCCAGCUCAGCAGAGACUGGCUACGGCAAUCACUCAGUAACUAUUUGUUGAAUUGGACAUAAUAGAAGAGCUGAAGAAUUUUAAACAAGUCACCAUCAGUGCAGUGGAUUCCUCAAAGCAAACCUGGAAAUCUCGGCAUGAGUUGGAUUUAAGGCAGUACAUUUUCAGCUCCUGAAAAUUUGAACAGUUUCUCAAGAGAACAACUUGAAACAGAAAGGCAAGGAUGUAGAUGUGGUUGUAGAAGAUGAUGUCUGCGGCCACCAAACUGUCCACUGUGAAGACAAACCAUGCAUGUUUAGUAGGCAGUGGCUCCUCUUCCCUGUGGGGAGUCCCACUGCUUCCCUGGCCUGGGUGUUCUCUGCCGGUAGAUGUUAUUGACAAAAUAAGCAAAGUCCUCUGAUUCUGAGAAUUAGAGUUAAUGAUAGCUCUAGAUUGCCUCUGCCAUGCUAUUUAAAGUCCUGCUUUAUUGUCUGACAUGAGUUCGGCAUCUAUGAGGACUUGUCCAGUGCAAAGUACAAUCUCCACUGAAAGAUAUCACCAGCACAUCUUGUCACUGUGCUGUAGCAAGCUGGGCAGUACAAUGAUGUUGGCAGGAUCCUGUUUAGGUGGAGGAUGGCCACCUGGGCAUCAAGAAUCUUCUACCCUGAUUCCACAUUGACUCCCCAAAGUGGGCUUCAGACAGCUCUUUACUUACGUCUUCUGAUUAAAGCAGCAGACAGGGUCCCAGCUAGAGAAAAGUUCUGGGAGCAGGAGAGGUGUUGGUGGCUUUAAAACCAGGGGUGAAGAUUGAAUUAGGAGGUUAGGCAGGAGUAGGAUCAAAGACUUAGAAAAUGCUUGUUUCCUCCUAUUAUUCUUAUGAGAGCUGAUACGGGGCUUUCAGUUUUGGGGGAGAGCCUUGGAAGAGAAUGAGGGAAUUUAAUCAACUAGCGGGACCUUUCCAACUUACAUUUCCCAGUGUUUGUUGGAUGAUACGUUUGCCUAAUAAGUUAAAGCUUCCAAAAAUAGAAAGGAAAGCUUGGUGACACUAAGCUCUGGCAUGCUGUCAUCUUCUGGCUAGGGGUCUUGUGCUUCUGUUUUUCUAUUUCUGACCAAAGACAUAAAAUGUGUUGUGACCUCUCAGGUAAUGCUGUGGUAUCAUGUCCAAGCAGUAACUAACCAGAGUGGAGUUUUUACAGGUAAAAAAGUAUUGAAUAGCUCAGCAACAGGGAGGACUUAAUGAUAAAUUGCUUUUUCAGAAAAUGACAAGGGGACAGACACUUGCGGUUCUUCCAUUGAGAGCCUUAAGGAAGUUAAGCGAAGCCUCUGCUCACCCCUUCAAGUAACGAUGACCCAUCAGAUCGUGGUCAUAACCAGUAGCAUCUGAGGCACCCCUAAGCUCUCUGGGCCCCAGAUUCCUUGUUAAGUUAAAUGAGGUGACUUCCCAGUUUACCAUUCUAGGGGUUCCUGAGGAGUUAAAAAUGAAGGAGAAAAUGCAACAUGUACCAAGUGAGCAAGAGCUCAAGGCUUAUCUCUGGCACGAAAGUGACCGCUGUCCGUUAGAGAUGUGAUUGCCCUAGAUUUCCUUUAGGAAAUGCAAACAUUGAACUCUGGCCUUCAGGACCCAAGUCCCGGCUUGCAUCUAUUCUAUACACUUUCUGUUAUUUGUUAGGGCUCACAAGGAACAGUUAUUUAUCUUUUAUUUUCUAUUUUUUUUUUAGAGAUGGAGUCUCACUCUGUCUCCCAGGCUGGAGUGCAGUGGUGCCAUCUCAGCUCACUGCAACCUCCACCUCCCGGGUUCAAGCAAUUCUCCUGUCUCAGCCUCCUGAGUAGCUGGGACUACAGGCGUGUGCCAUCAUGCCCGGCUAAUUUUUAGUAUUUUUAGUAGAGGCAGGGUUUCACCAUAUUGGCCAGGCUGGUCUUGAACUCCUGAUCUCAAGUGAUCUACCCUCCUUGGCCUCCCAAACUGCUGGAAUUACAGAUGUGAGCGACCACACCUGGCCCAUUUGUUUUCUUUCAAACCCUUCUGUAAGACCAGUGCUUUAGGUGAACACGUGGACAGAACAAGAUCAUCACUAUUUUGCAAUAUGAAGACCAACUGCGCUGUGACCAGAAAAACAGAGGCAAAAUGUUGAGCUUAAUGAUACCUUUUUAUAAUUUGUAUUUGGUGUUUCUCAAUUUUCCAUUGGAUAGUUUGAGAGAUAAGUACAAGUCAAUGACAUGUUCUCUUUCGUACCCUAUUGUCUAAUCCUGCUAACACACACACACACACACACACACACACUGAUUACCUAAUUUAUCUGUUCCCCGAUUAUUACACUCUCAAUUGCUGCAGAGUCUCAGAAGCAGCAUGGUGUAACAGAAAGAAUAUGAGGCUUAGAAUCCAAAAGCCAGAGUGUGAAUUCCAGCUCCACUGACUUGCUGCGUGACUUGAAGCAAGUCAUUACGUGUCUCUGUUUACUCAUUUUAUGACUUUCCUAUUGCCUCUGUAAUAUAGCACCACAAACGUGUGGACUUAAAACAACAUGCAUUUAUUCUCUUAGCGUUCUGGAGGUCAGGAGUCUGACAUCAAUUUCGUUGGGCUAAAAUCAAGAUGUUGGUAGGACCAAGAUCCCCGUGGAGGCUCUGGGAGAACCCAUUUCCUUGCCUUUGCCAGCUUCUAAUGCUGCAUUCCUUGCAUUCCUUGAUUGUUGACCUCUUCCCCCAUCUUCAAAGCCAGCAGAACAGCACCUUGUUUCAUUGCCUUCUUUACUGUCAAAUCUCCCUCUGCCUUCUUCUUAUAAGAACACUUGUGGUUGCAUUUAGAAGCUGUGAUAAUCCAGAAUAAUAUCUUUAUCUCAAGAUCUUUGACUUGGUCUCUUCUGCAAAGUCUCUUUUGCCACAGAGGGAAAUAUUCACAGGUCCCAGGGGUCAGGCUGUGUACGUCUUUGGGGGACUUUAUUCUGCCUACCACACUCAUCUUUUUUUUUUUUUUUUUUGGAUGGAGUCUUGCUCUGUCACCCAGGCUGGAGUGCAGUGGCAUGAUCUCGGCUCACUGCAACUUCUGCCUCCCCAGUUCAAGCAAUUCUCCUGCCUCAACCUCCCAAGUAGCUGGAAUUACAGGCGCCUGCCACCACGCCCGGCUACUUUUUGUACUUUUAGUAGAGAUGGGGUUUCACUAUGUUGGCCUGGCUGGUCUUGAACUCCUGACCUCAGGUGAUUCCCCCACCUUGGCCUCCCAAAGUGCUGAGAUUACAGACGUGAGCCACCAUGCCCGGCCCCACACUCAUCUAUUAAGUAGAGCUAGGAAUUCCUAUCCUAAGGGACACAAAAAUGAAAAAAGAUAAAAUUUGUGAAGAGGCACAUAAUGAAAGCCCAUACAUGUCACUGAGUUCAGAGGAGGGUGGGUCUGACCUCCCAUUGGCUGGUCUCUGCCUGAUGGACAUCGUGAAGAAGAGAGCCAGGACUAGUGUGGCUGGGGGAUGUUCAGGGGCCAGAGUGGCUUCAGGUGCCAGCAGCCCUGGCCGAAGGAUGACUCCAGGAGCAAGGCUCAGAGCCGAGUGGAAGAAGCUUCAUAAACGCAACUGAGCCAAGCAUGAUGGGAUGUGCCUGUGGUUCCAGCUACUCAGGAGGCAGGUGGGAGGAUGGCUUGAGUCAGAAGUUCGAGGCUGCAGUGAGCUAUGAUCACACUACUGUACUCCAGCCUGGGUGACAGAAUGACACCCUGUCUCUAAAAAGAAAAGGCACCUGGAUGCUCAUGACCGAGAUGGGGUGGGGUGGGUGGGGUGGGACAGCCGCACUUUAUAACUUUGCUUUCAGCAUGAUGUGGAUUAGUGUCUCCCAUGUGGGAAAAUUAUGUUUACCACUUAGAGACCUGAUAGUGCUUGCUUACCCCAUAACGCUGGACGGUGGCAGGCUUAACUCCCCCAUCAAGGGCCUUAAUGUAUUUGGGGCCCUAGUCCUAGCAACAGCAGCAAAUCUCCUUUUUCUUUUCCUCGAGCUGGUUGUUCACCAGGCAGUUGGGAUGUUAAUGGGAAGAGAAGACACACACAAGUCCCUUGUUUUCAAUAAGGCAGUCUGGUCACGUCCUUAGCAGGUUAUUAAUCUUUUUCAAACCCCUCCUCUCCACCAAGUUUUAUGAUCCUGGGAAGGAGAUUCCUACCUAGCAUCCUUAGAGUUAUCGGGGGUUAGGAUCGGUGCAUGCAGUCACUUCCGUGGAAUCAUCAGUAGCCCUCCAGCCUCUGGGGAGAGCUGCCAGUGGUCAGAGAUGUUGGGAAUUACGAGGGAGGAGCUAGGGAGAAGGAACUCACAGUCCCUCAGUCUCUGAAGGUGGCUCCUGGCAGGAGAGGGGGCCAGUCCUAGAUAAGAGCUCUCCCAGGGAAUUCCAAGGGUCCUCCCAAGGUCCAGCCACAAGAUGAGGAAUUACUGUUGGGCUCUUCCUCAGAUGUGCCUGUGAAUUCAUAUCACAGAUGCUUGAUGCAUUUGACAAUUGUUUAAUUGCUUGAGCCCAACUGAUACUCUUUCAGUCACUUUAAGGGAGUGAUUUCAAGUAUGAUCAUUGCCUCAAAUCUGUAUGGCUUUCCUUGCCUUUCAGGUGCUUUAAGAGGGCUUAUGUUCUUUGACUCCCCUAGUAACUCAAAAGGGUGGCUAAGAUGCAACUCUGGAGGUUUCCAAGCUCUCUGCAAAGCCUGCCUUCAGUAGUCUGUGCACCACAAGAAGCAUAACUUUAUUAUCCUCUAGCUGAAUUUACCUCCUGCUUCGAGCCCCUGUUUUCCCAUGUCAUUUUAGGGGUCCAAUGUUUUUCCUGGAGGCAUAUACACACACACACACACACACACACACACACACACACACACACACACACACACAUAUAUACACACACACAUUCCAGGGGCCUCUGAGGUGCCAAGACAUGUGUGGGGUCCAUCUGGUUCACACUGAUGUCCAUGAUCAUUGAGUUCAUUUUUUAUAUCAACUAUGUGACACUUCCUAUAGUUUCCAGUUCCUGGUUAGAAUUUGCAAAGUUGCCGACUAUUUCUUUGAAUAGAGUAGCUAGAUCAUGGGUCUACACCAGUCAUCAAGCAGCGAUUUCCCUGUUGGAAGCUCCAAGCAAAUUGUCAGCUCCAGCAUUCCACACAGCUGUGGGUGCCACACUCCUUUUCCUUUUAAAAGAUGAUGAUCUGCUAGUGGUGAAUGCUCUUGGAGUUUUAUUUGUAGGUUUUUCUUGUUGUCGCAAAUGUCUAUAUUUCAUCUUCCCUCUUGAGGGAUAUUUUCCAUGGGUAGAGGAUCUAGGCUUUUCUUUUGGAUUCCAUUGUGGCUUUAAAAAAAAGUCAGUUGACUGUUUAUUUAUGGCUUCUCUAAAGGUGAUCUCUUUCUUCCUAAGGCUGCUUUAAAAGUUUCCGUUCCCUCCCUCCCUUCCUCCCACCCCAUCCCCCUUCUUCCUUUCCUUCCUCCCUCCCUUCCUCCCUUCUCUUCCUCCCUUUCUCCCUUGUCUUCCUCCUUUUCUCCCAUCCUCCCUUCCUCCCUCUUUCCUUCUUUUUUCCCUUCCUCCCGCCCUCCUUCCUUCUUCCAUCAUUAUAUAUUAAAAUAUUUUCUUUCUUUCUUUUUUUUUUUUGAGAUGGAGUUUCGCUCUUGUUGCCCAGGCUGGAGUGCAACGGUGUGAUCUUGGCUUACUGCAACCUCCACCUCCCUGGUUCAAGCGAUUCACCUGCCUCAGCCUCCCUAGUAGCUGGGAUUACAGGUGCCCGCCACCACACCCAGCUAAUUUUUGUAAUUGUAGUAGAGAUGGGGUUUCACCAUGUGGGCCAGGCUGGUCUUGAACUCCUGAACUCAGGUAAUCCACCCGCCUUGUCCUCCCAAAGUGCUGGAAUUACAGGCAUGAGCCACCACUCCCAGCCUAUUAAAAUAUUUUCUUCUGGGCCUUCCCUCCUUUUACUUCUUUUGAUACCGCCAUCAAAUGCAUGUUAGGUUGACUCACUGUGUACUCUAUUACCCUCUCAUCUGGUUUUUAAUCUUUCUGUCUCCUUAUACUGUAAUCUCAGUGUUUCUUCUGCUUUAAUUUUGGUAUAUGAAUUAUUCAGCUGUGUUCAAAGUGUGGUUAAAGCGACUUAUAUGCUCUUUAAUUUUUAGUUAUUGUACUUUUCACCUCUAGAAGUUCUUCUGUGACACUUCUUAUAGUUUCCAGUUCCUGGUUAGAAUUUGCAAACUUGUUGACUAUUUCUUUGAAAAGAGUAGCUAGAAUUGUUUUAGUCUGUGUAUAGUGAGUUGAAUAUCUGAAACCUCUGUGAGUCUGUUUCUUUUGUCUGCUAGCCCUACUCAUGGCGUCAUGUUUUCCUGGAUGUUUAGUUGGUUGUCUUUGAAUAUGUCCAACUCCAGUUAUUUCUGGGAAUACCCAAAGGCACACCUGUUCACUAUCACCCAGUGAACUGCCAUGUGUUUGUCUCCUGUCAUGGUAACAUUUGCAUUCAGGGAGAGGCCUCUGCUCUCUGCAGAACAGUGUGAAAUCACCUCAUUUUUGCCUUCAAUGAAGGUUGUCUCUUGCUGGUCACCACCACUUCCUCAAAUGACUAAUGCCACUCUUGCUCACAGUGCUAAGGCGCUAAGGAGUUUUCAGAGGGCUAGAGUGAUUCUGCAUCCUCUGGGGUUCUCAGGAAACGAGGCCACAGGGCCAUCUGUGCAUGAGUGACAGUGGGGUGGGGUGGAUGAGCAGUGGCAGUGGUGGGCACCUAUGCUGCUGGCGCCACAGCUUUUUAUAUCUUGGUGAAAACAACGCCUUGCGUUUUCACUUGUAGAUUCUCCGGCUACAUUCCACAAGAACAAAUUCUGGUCACAGAGGCCAGAGUAGACUAUCAGUGUAAUGGCCCUUCCCCUUUGAUGAUAGCAGCUUUUUUCGGGGGAGCAGGGGUGGCCAAACUUCCUAGCCUUAUUUUAUCUUCCUUUCUAGUUCUCCCCAGAGGCUGCUGGGUCCACCUCUCCCUCUGCCAGACAGACAGGCUCAGACAUGCAAGAACGGAAGGGGGUGUGGGGGUUGGUGGGAGGAUUAAGUUGGGGAAAGCCAGUCUUGUCUUUGUAGAUUACCAGAACUGACACACGUACACACACGUACACUCACUCACUCACUCACUCAUCUAUUCAUCUAUUUUUGGCCUAAGUGCCUUUGGACACUUCUUCGGAAAAGCACAUGAACUCUUCGGAGUCUCCUGUUCCACUUGGUAAAUUUCCUAUAGCCACGCACUGAAAGUCCCUGCUGCCCUCCUUCCUCUGAGCUUGUGGGGCCCACAGAUCCCCUGCUCCACUUCCUGCUUCAUUUCAGCUGAUGGUGAGUCCAGGGCAGGCUUGUAGGAAGGGCGGGCUAGGCGUGGGGAACUGCAGCACCCACCCCACCCCCCGCCCCAGUGCUUGUUGCCCCAGCCUCUGUCUCCCUCGCUGUGCCCUUCCCUUAAGCCCCACUCUUGGCCUCCCCAAAGACAGAGUUUGUUCUGUUUUUAUUGAUAGGAUGACACUCCCUCGUUCUAAUACCAUCUGAAUGCCUGAGCAAUUACAUCUUACAACCUCAUGAAAAACACAGCAGCUUGUCACGAUGAAUGAUGUUACCGUGAAUAAUGCAGUUUUGAGUUCAAACUCCUUCUUAUUCCAAGAAUGAGUAAAUAUCCCUAUUCCCUCCCCUCCCCAUUGCAUUUGGGUUUGACAUGACAUGAAUCAUUGUGGUUUUACUCCUGGGUAGAAUUGUUUUUCUGUAUUGCAUUGCCAAUUGAUGGAAGGACAAAAAAAGGAAACUUACCAAUGAGCAGUUUCAGAUGAACUUAAAUUCUCAGAAAUCUUGAAGAAUGAAUGAACUAUAACUUUCUGAAGUUGCAAAAAUGUUCAAGUCGGAAGUGACCCAUGGGAAGCAACCUGGUCCUUAAUUAGGACUGGAAAGAAAACGGAGGCCCAGCGAGGGAACAGUGGCUUCCCCAAGGUCACACUGCAAGUGAGUGGUGGCACUAGUCACCCAGGAGUCCUCCUGACUCCAUGGUAUCCUGACCCCAGACCAGCAGCCUUAUUUGUGGUUAAAGAACGUGGAAAAACAGCUUAUGUUUGAAUUUUAAAAUCAUGCCAGUACUAAAGAUCUGCAUUCCAUGAAUAUUGAGCUUUGCUGUGUGCGGGUUGCUACGAAUUUUGUAACUAUUUUCUCUAAGAGCUCUCAGUAUUUUACAUAUACAAUUCCAUUCUUUAUUGUCCAGGGAAAAAGUUGCAUUUACUGAGCAGUAAGAGGGUGAUUUGAAGUCCCUGGGGUCCCCCACCCUUGUCUUUCUAUGUGAGAUUGUAUUGCAGGGCUCACAUUUAUUCUCUCAGCAGCUCAUUGCACAGACAGUGUAUUUAUUGAGCACCUACUGUGUGCCAGGAGCUAUGUGGUAAGCUAAGCAGACAAAAACUCCUGCUCUCACAAGAAGAAAGAAUAAACAAGCAGACAAUUGCACCUAUAAUGUCAGCCUGGUGUGAUGGCUCACUCCUGGAAUCCUAGCACUUUGGGAGGUGACGAUGGGAGGAUUGCUUUAACUCGGGAGUUCAAGAUAAGCCUGGGCAACCAAGACCCUGUCUCUACAAAAAAAUCAAAAAAUUAGCUGGGGGUGAUGGCAUGAGUCUCUGGUCCCUCGGGACCAGAGGCCUCGGGAGGCUGAGGCGGGUUUAUCACUUGAGCCUGGGAGGUUGAGGCUGCAGUGAGCUGUGAUCACACCACUGCACUCCAGCCUGGGCCACAGAGCGAGACCCUGUCUCUAAAUAAACAAACAACCUAAUGUCAAGUUAGGAAGUGUGGCAAAAAGGAACAAAGUCAGGGUGACUGCCAUUCUAGAAAGGGUGGUGAGGGAAGGUCUCCUUGAGCAGAUCCUGUGGGAGUGGAAGGGUAAGUCACGAGACUCUCUGGAGGAAGAAGAUUCCAGGUGGAAAUGCCUUAGUGGGUGUUAAACGCUUUAACGGGUGUUAGCCAGAAAGCCAGAAUGGCUGGAGCUGAGGGAGUAGAGGAGGCGGCAUAGAAAAUGAGGUCAGAGAUGGAGGCAGGGCCGGAUCACAGAGGGGCACAGAGAACGAGGAGGGAAUUGGAUUUUUGGAAAAGAUUGUGGCAAAAUACAAAAUAUAAAAUACAAAAAUAAAAUAUAAACCAUAAAAUGUACUACCUUUACCAUUUUAAGUAUGCAGUUCAGUAGUGUUAAAUACAUUUACAUCAUUGUUCAACCCGUCUCCAGAACUCUCUGCAUCUUGCAAAAUUAAAACUCUAUGCCAUUUCAACAGUUCGCAUUUCCUCUUCCCUCUCGUUCAUGGCAACCGCCAUUUUUCUUUCUGUCUCUGUAAAUGUUAGUACUUGGGGUAUCUCAUCUAAGUGGAAUCACACAGUGUGUGUCCUUUUGUGACAGACUUAUUUCACUUUGCAUAAUGUCCUUAAUAUUCAUCCAUGUUGUAGCAUGUGUCAGAUUUUCCUUCCUUCUUAACAUUGUGUAAUAUUCCAUUGUACGCAUAGACUACAUUUAGCUUAUCUGUUCACCUGUGGAUGGACACUUGGGUUGCUAUAGUGAAUAAUAUUGCUGUAAAUAUGGGUAUACGAUUAUCUCUUUGUGACCCUGCUUUUAAUUGUUUUGGAUAUAUACCCAGAAAUGGAAUUACUGAAUCAUGUGGAGAUUCUGUUUUUGAUUUAUUUAUUUAUUUUUAAUUUUUGAGAUGGAGUCUCGUUCUGUCACCCAGGCUGGAGUGCAGUGACACGAUCUCUGCUCACUGCAACCUCUGCCUCCUUGCACCAUUAAUUCUGAAAAUGCAGGCCUGGAUCCAACCGCCUUUGGGGACGGGUACCUGCCCACAGGAAGAGGUUGAGGAGACAAUAAUGUCACGAGAAUCAUCAUCUUUGACUGGGAAAUGGUGUGCAGAGUUUCUGGUGCCUUCUGAAGUGAUUGUCGCAUCUCAGCCUCCCUAGUAGCUGGGAUUACAGGCAUUUGCCACCAAGCCCGGCUAAUUUUUGUAUUUUUAGUAGAGACGGGGUUUCAUCAUGUUGGCCAGGCUGGUCUCAAACUCCUGACCUCAGGUGAUCCACCUGCCUCAGCCUCCCAAAGUGCUGGGAUUAUAGGUGUGAGCCAUGCACCUGGCCUGAUUGGUUAUUUAAAUUCUGAGAUGGGGUAUACUAAUGUUUGAAAACCACAGGGAUGGGAUAGGUAUAGGUGGGGAGGGAGAGCAAAAGUGGUAUUUAGAAUAUGUUACGUUUGAAAAACCUAAUACACAUUCUACAUCCAAGUGGACAUAGAUGGAGUUAUUUGA